UUAAAUUCUACAUUUAUAUAUAUUUUUAAUUAGAAUCAAACUUAUAUUAUGUAUAAUAAAAUAGAUUUCUUUUCAAUUUUUUCUUAAAAAUGCUCUCUUUCUUAAAGUGCUCUCAGAUCGGUUUAAUUAAAAAAAAAAAAAAAAAAAAAAAAAAAUAGUCCAAGAAUCCCAAAGGCUCUGCACUGGUUAGUGAGGUUGACUUCUGCUGGGCGCCUCCUACAUAGGUUUACUUUAGUUCAGAGCUCAAAGGGUUAACGUGCCUCUCCCUCAGAGCGAGAAGAUACAUUAAACAGGCAUGUAUUCUCCAGGCUAGUACACAGUGUGUGUGGACUCCCUCAGCAGCAGGAGGCGGUGGUAGCUAGUGCAGAUUUGACGCGCGCUCAUCAGUACAGCACGAGGAAGGGAAGGAUGCAUUUCACAUAAACGAUGCCAUUACUGCUCCAGCUGCCGGCGAAUAUGAUAUGAUGGCGCUGUCCUCUGGGGGACAGACUGUGGUCCAUUAGUGCGGCUGGAUGUCUCGUUAGUGCGCCAGAUGUCCAAAAGGACCUCUCUGAAAGCACGCGCCCGCGCACAGAGAAAGUGAAGCUCAAGAUGAAUCUUAUACUCGUUAUUGACCGUGCAAACCAGGCACUCUGACCCUGGUCGCGUUUUAGUCAUUAUAAAACGAUAUUCCGGUUUAUUUUCAACAGUUAUCUGGUGUGCAUUAUUUUCAUCAGCCGGUGUUUGUUGUUGAUGUGUAGCGCGCAUCGCUUUGCAACGCCCAUGAUCUUCACCCGAGGAGGGAAAUGCAGACGGGGAGAAACUUCUGAACAUCAGCUGAAGGCGUCUGUCACCACGUGGACUUAGAUGUGAUCGGUGAAGGGUUUUUUAGACUGACAAGACAAGAUGAGCGAUGCCACAGAUGACUCCGGUAUUAUCCGCCGGCGGAGGAUGCAGAAGGAUCUUCCCUUGCCCAGGAAGAGCAGUGGGUGAGUGUAGCAAAUCCACUUUACCUGAUUUAAUUCUGCAUUUGUUUGUUCAAAUGUUGUCUGUGGACCUUUUUUGUUUUGUUGGGACCUAGUGUAAUGUGGUACGGAAUAAAAAACACUUCCCCAAAACCAAUCUGAAACAAACAACCACAGACUUGUGUCCAUUUUUCACUAUGCCUGUCGACAUUGAAAAUACUUGAUGUGGUGAAUGAAAGUGACGGGCUAAAGUUGGAAAUCUGAGACUGGUCUUGCAUCACUGAAGGUGAUAUUACGUAAGCGGAGGAAAAAUGCUGAUUAAUAUGCUGGUGCUAUGGUGACGUAGGGCAAUAAUGUAGGAGUAAAGGCCCCGAUAUACUUCAAACGAAAUCAAAGAACAAACUGAUAUGACGUCAUUUUGAACAAAAUCAGGCCGAAACGAAGUUCAUUUUGAGUUUGUUUCGGCAGUUCAAAACAGCUGACCAAAGCAAACUUUCUGGGGGAGUUCGUUUUGGCUCCUAAACACCUUUGACGGUUAUGCAGUCGGUGGGUGUGUACUGGAACUCCACCUUCUUUGUCGUGUGAUUUUUUUUUUUUUUUUUCGGUUCGGUUCUUCAUUCUAAGUCGUUGUAGUUAUUUUUUUUUUUUUUUCGGGUUCGUUUCUCAUUCAAUGGAAGGCAGCAAGAGAACAACAUCUCCAAGUCACUAGCAACAUAAAUACACUGUGUCUAAUAGCUGAGCUGGCACAGAUAUAUAUGCACCUGUACAAUCGCUCGUGGAGAGACUUUAAAGAUUCAGAGAAAGCAUUUAAUUCCUAGAAAAAAAUUACAAUGAAGCUUGGUACCGAUAACCUGGAGUUAUGCAACUAUAUCAUGACACCACAUAAAAUAUAAAAAGGUGUAAUAAUUUAUCCAGUUUAAUAAAAUAAAUGAACACUAAUAAAAUAAAAUAACAAACUGACUCCAAUAUUUUUUUCCACAUCAUGCUAAAUUUUUCAGACUAUGAGACAUUCACACUUAAAGGACUGAUUAUGGAAAUGGAAAGGUUCUUUUGUAUUGCAAACUUGACUCUGAACUGCUGCUAAUCAUUAUUCUUUUGUCUAUAAUCUGACCAUGGGGAACACGUCUCACACCUAGAUACACCAUCAUUGCAUCUUUAUUGUGUUUAAGGCAUACGCUCAACAGUGCACAGUGCAACAGUAUGUGGUGGAUUAGUGCAGGAAUACUUUAGUGCAGCAAUGCAGGAAUGCAGCAAUCCACUAGUGCAGCAAUGCAGGAUCGCAAUACUUCAGUGCAGCAUUGCAGAAAUGCAGCUAUACACUAGUGCAGUGAUGCAGGGAUACAGUGAUACACAAGUGCAGUGAUGCAGUGAUGCAGUGCUACACUAGUGCAGUGAUGCAGUUAUGCAGGGAUGCAGUGAUGUAAGUACACAGCGAUACACUAGUGCAGGGAUGCAGCGAUACACUAGUGCAGUGAUGCAGGGACGUGGUAAUACAUUAGUGCAGUGAUUCACUAGUGCAGUGAUGCAGGGAUGCAGUGAUACACUUGUGCAGUGAUGCAGGGAUGCAGUGAUACACUAGUGCAGUGAUGCAGUGAUACACUGUCACAGGUAAUACACUAGUGCAGUGAUACACUAGUGCAGUGAUGCAGGGAUGCAGUGAUACACUAGUACAGUGAUGCAGUGAUACACUAGUGCAGCGAUGCAGGGACGUGGUAAUACACUAGUGCAGUGAUGCAGUGAUACACUGUCACAGGGACUGCAGGGAUGCAGUGAUACACUAG
rnacentral:lncRNA from 1 species